UACUUCACCCACAGAUAUGUCAUUACUAACACGUUCUUGUUGGAAUGCUGCAGACACCUUUUGCUUAUCAAAAACUACUGUCUUGCUCCCCUUAUCUUCUUUGAGAAGUAGCUUGUCUGUCAGGUCGAGAACCUAAAAAUCAAUACAUCGACCCAUUCAUUAGCACAAUUAAUAAAAUUAAUGUAUGAGCAUAUAUAUAAAUAUUUUCUUAGGUUGCUGAUACCUCGGCUUUAAGUUUUUCUUUCUCGGCAAGUAGAUUGUCAUAGUCAGCCUUGAGGCUGUUGUAGCUAUUUUGCAAUACAUCAUAAUCUUUUUCUAGUGUUUUGGUCUUCCACCGUGCUCGACGGUUCUGAAACCAUAUCGCAACCUGUCUUGGCUGCAAGCCGAGUUCUUUUGCAAGCUGAACUUUUCUUUCAGGCUCAAGCUUGUUAUCAGUCUCAAAACUUUUCUCAAGAAACUGGAUUUGAUCAGCCUUGAGCCUCCUCUUCUUCUCAGGCUGCUGAAAGUAUUCAUCAUAUUCUUCAUCCCCAAUUUCUUCUUCAUCAUAUGACCGCAUAAAGAACCCAUCGUAGGGAUUUUUUCGCUUAGCAUCUUGAAAGCUAACCAUGGAUUUUGAACCUACCAUCAAAAAAACACAAAACAAAAUUCUCAAAUUAAUCAACUGAUGACAUCCACAAUCAAAUAUCAUUUCACAACCUCUACAAACCAUUUCAGAACCAGCUACAAAUUAAUAGCUACAAUAACUUAAAACAAGUACUUUCAAGUUUCAAAGACUAACUAAACGCAAUUGAUCUCCAACUAUGUCAAGGGUAAAUGAACAAGGACUAAUUAACAUGAUACAAUUUUUCGAGAAAAUAAGUCAACUAAAGCCUUCACAAUUACACAAAUAACAACAAUCACUAUUAAAUUCCACAACUAAAAAGACCACCAAAACAUCUAAAAAUCAAGAAAACACAGUGCAACGCUACAAUACAUUCAACAAAAAACACAUAAAGCAUGAAACUUUAUCAUCAAGAUUGCAAACUAGAUCAAGAAACAUACCAAUUAGAGAAGGAGAAGGUGCAGAAAGAAAGAAAGGCUCAGGUCUUUGACUAUGAAACAACAGGCUAGCCGACGUCGUAUUGGCUCCCUCCCCAUAGAAACACCUCCGACCCGCCAUAAUAUAUAUAAAAACAAGCACUUAUGUGUACAAAUUUAUCCAAGA
rnacentral:lncRNA from 1 species